rnacentral:rRNA from 1 species
AUUGAACGCUGGCGGCGUGCCUAAUACAUGCAAGUCGAACGGGGAAAGCUUUCGGGUGAGUACUAGUGGCGCACGGGUGAGUAACGCGUGGAUAAUCUGCCUUGAAGAGGGGGAUAACCAGUCGAAAGAUUGGCUAAUACCGCAUAAGACCACAGGAACUGAGGUUCUAGAGGUCAAAGGUUUUUCGCUUCAAGAUGAGUCCGCGUAAGAUUAGCUAGUUGGUGAGGUAACGGCUCACCAAGGCGACGAUCUUUAACUGGUCUGAGAGGAUGAUCAGUUACACUGGAACUGAGACACGGUCCAGACUCCUACGGGAGGCAGCAGUAGGGAAUAUUGCACAAUGGAGGAAACUCUGAUGCAGCGACGCCGCGUGAGUGAUGAAGGCCUUCGGGUCGUAAAGCUCUGUCGCAGGGGAAUAACACAAUGAAGGUACCCUGUAAGAAAGGAUCGGCUAACUUCGUGCCAGCCGCCGCCGUAACAC